rnacentral:rRNA from 1 species
AUGGACCAUAGGAUUGUGGUACCCUGUCUUGAUGGUAGAAGCGGAGGAUUACUGUUAGUCUGGAAGAAGGAGGUGAGGAUCUACUCCCGGACUAAUACGUUUAAUUGCAUUGAUGUUUCGGUGGAAGAAGCAGAUGGUAGAGUAUGGAGGCUUACGGGUCUGUAUGGAGAACCAAGCUGGGAUAAUAAGAACAAGACAUACCAGCUGAUCCGAGAUCUUCAUGCCCACUCUAACUUGCCGUGGGUGGUUAUUGGGGACUUUAACGAAAUACUACUGUCGUCAGAAAAGGAAGGAGGAGCCCAGCGGCAGCAGUCCAGGCUCAAAGCGUUCCAAGACGCCCUGACAGACUGCUCUUUAGAGGAUAUUGGAUACCAUGGUGACAAAUUUACCUUCUUUAGAGGAGGGUUGCGAGAAAGAUUGGAUCGAGCAGUUUCAAAUCCGGGAUGGAUGGAGAUGCACCCGUUGUGUGGUCUUGUAAACCUGGAUAUGGGUAAGUCGGAUCACAAACCUAUCUGUUUGGAUACCGAAUAUCUGACGGGUGUCGCAGGCCCACGGCGUCGAUCAGGAAGGAAAUUUGAGGCAAGAUGGCUAGAAGAAGAGUUGGUGGAGGAAGUAGUGCGAACGGCGUGGCAAAAGGCAGUCGUCAGGGGGCUUUGUCCCUCGGCUAGCGAGAAACUAGCAGCGGUACAUAAAGAUCUUCAUCAAUGGGACAGGAAAAUUCUGAAGGGCCCUCGAGCCAGACUGAAAACAGCGUAG